rnacentral:ncRNA from 1 species
AUGUGGUUUAAUUCGAUGCAAAGCGAAGAACCUUACCAGAGCUUGACAUGCCGCGAAUCCUCUUGAAAGAGAGGGGUGCCUUCGGGAACGCGGACACAGGUGUGACUUGCGAAGCAUAUAUCAAUAUAUUGACUUACUAGGGAUUUAUUUAAUUUUAAUAAAUCCCUAGCGAAAUCACAAUCUUGAUCUUGGACCAACAU